rnacentral:lncRNA from 1 species
CAUUAUACAGGGCGACAGGCAUGGCAGCAGUUUCUGGUGCACAUGUUGCCUGUCUCCCGGUGACAGAAGAUAACAGAGGACUAAGAGCGCACAUAUACCUCAAGAGCCCUAAGGCUGCCACAGGAGAGUAAACAACUCCACCCAGCACUGCUCCAGGCCGGCUCCAGUUCAAAGUGCUUCGGGGGACCUUUUCUUCUCACAGCAUCAACAUAAAUGGCCGUCUUCUAUAUGUGAGCACUCAGCACUCCUGGCAAUUUCGUGGCAGCUGUGUGGCGAUAAGAGGCCCUUUAUUUUUUCAAGCACAUUUGUGAAGUGUGUGGGGAGCCGACUAAAAUUAAUGAACUUUUCUUGCCAAAAAGAACUAGGCUCCAAAUUCGGUCAUGUAUUGCCAAAUAGACGGUGUGAAUGAAAGUCAGUUCGUGGGGAGAAUAAGAACAUUUCAAAGGAGCACAAGUUGAAUACAAGCAGUCCCUGACUCACUUAUGUGGACUUAAAGAUAUUCCUCAUCUGGGAAAAAUAAGUCCAGACCUAUAGCUGCGUCGACCACAGUUCCCUCCAUCCCCAGUUUCUCUCAGCCCUCUGCAUCCCCUCAACCCCCACCUUCCCUCCACUGCUGCCUGGGUCCGCCAUCUGCCGGCCCUUCCAUCCUGUGGUCAGGCACCUGCCCUCACCUGGCUCACCCCAGGGCCCACAAUUGCACAGAGUAAAAAGGAGAAAGGAAGGAAUCUCCAGUAGAAGCUUCUCUGCCCUGGGGCUGGCCACCUUCCAAACCUUAAACCUACUGAUACGGUUUAGCUGUGUCUCCACCCAAAUCUCAUCUCGAAUUGUACCUCCCGUAAAUUCCUACACAUUGGGGGAGGGAGCCAGUGGGAGUUAUUAAUUGAAUCAUGGUGGACUGUUCUCGUAGUAGUGAAGAAGUCUCAUGAGAUCUGAUGGUUUUAGAAAGGGAAACUUGUUUCGCUUGGCUCUUACUCUUGUCUGCUGCCAUGUGGAUGUGCCUUUCACCUUCCGCCAUGAUUGUGAGGCCUCCCCAGACACAUGGAACUGUGAGUCCAUUAAACCUCUUUCUUUUGUAAAUUGCCCAGUUUCGGGUAUGUCUUUAUCAGUAGCAUGAAAACAGACUAAUACACCUACCCAGAUCCUGCCUUCUCCAACCCUAAACACCCAAAUCUGGGUUUUCUACUAAAAAAGAAAAGAAUGUUUUAUCAUUUAUCCCAAAUUCCAUGACACUCACCUCCAUGGUCUUUGCUGUUACCUGGCAUUU